ensembl:miRNA Mir126a microRNA 126a
GCACUCCCGGUGCUGCGCUGUUGACCACGCAUUAUUACUCACGGUACGAGUUUGAAGUGUCACAGCGCGUACCAAAAGUAAUAAUGUGCUGUCACCGGCAAAGACACGGCUCCAGGCU